GCCUUCGUGGUGUAGUGGCAGCACACUCGGCGAGUAACCGAGAGAUCAGUGGUUCGAUUCCCGGCGAGGGCA
rnacentral:tRNA from 1 species